rnacentral:rRNA from 1 species
ACAGGGCCCAAACUCAUACGGGAGGCAGCAGUAGGGAAUCUUCCACAAUGGUCGCAAGUCUGAUGGAGCAACGCCGCGUGAGUGAAGAAGGUUUUCGGAUCGUAAAGCUCUGUUGUUGGUGAAGAAGGAUAGAGGUAGUAACUGGCCUUUAUUUGACGGUAAUCAACCAGAAAGUCACGGCUAACUACGUGCCAGCAGCCGCGGUAAUACGUAGGUGGCAAGCGUUGUCCGGAUUUAUUGGGCGUAAAGCGAGCGCAGGCGGAAGAAUAAGUCUGAUGUGAAAGCCCUCGGCUUAACCGAGGAACUGCAUCGGAAACUGUUUUUCUUGAGUGCAGAAGAGGAGAGUGGAACUCCAUGUGUAGCGGUGGAAUGCGUAGAUAUAUGGAAGAACACCAGUGGCGAAGGCGACUCUCUGGUCUGCAACUGACGCUGAGGCUCGAAAGCAUGGGUAGCGAACAGGAUUAGAUACCCUGGUAGCCCAUGCCGUAAACGAUGAGUGCUAAGUGUUGGGAGGUUUCCGCCUCUCAGUGCUGCAGCUAACGCAUUAAGCACUCCGCCUGGGGAGUACGACCGCAAGGGUUGAAACUCAAGGAAUUGACGGGGGCCCGCACAAGCGGUGGAGCAUGUGUUUAAUUUCGAGCAAC